GUCGCUCUCACCCUUUGUGACAUACCUAUAACUGUUGCUUCGGCGGGUAGGGUCUCCGUGACCCUCCCGGCCUCCCGCCCCCGGGCGGGUCGGCGCCCGCCGGAGGAUAACCAAACUCUGAUUUAACGACGUUUCUUCUGAGUGGUACAAGCAAAUAAUCAAAACUUUUAACAACGGAUCUCUUGGUUCUGGCAUCGAUGAAGAACGCAGCGAAAUGCGAUAAGUAAUGUGAAUUGCAGAAUUCAGUGAAUCAUCGAAUCUUUGAACGCACAUUGCGCCCGCCAGCAUUCUGGCGGGCAUGCCUGUUCGAGCGUCAUUUCAACCCUCAAGCUCUGCUUGGUGUUGGGGCCCUACAGCUGAUGUAGGCCCUCAAAGGUAGUGGCGGACCCUCCCGGAGCCUCCUUUGCGUAGUAACUUUACGUCUCGCACUGGGAUCCGGAGGGACUCUUGCCGUAAAACCCCCAAUUUUCCAAAGGUUGACCUCGGAUCAGGUAGGAAUACCCGCUGAACUUAAGCAUAUC
rnacentral:rRNA from 1 species